rnacentral:rRNA from 1 species
GUAGGUGGGCAAGCGUUGUCCGGAAUUAUUGGGCGUAAAGCGCGCGCAGGCGGUCCUUUAAGUCUGAUGUGAAAGCCCGCGGCUCAACCGUGGAGGGUCAUUGGAAACUGGGGGACUUGAGUACAGAAGAGGAAAGCGGAAUUCCAAGUGUAGCGGUGAAAUGCGUAGAGAUUUGGAGGAACACCAGUGGCGAAGGCGGCUUUCUGGUCUGUAACUGACGCUGAGGCGCGAAAGCGUGGGGAGCAAACAGGAUUAGAUACCCUGGUAGUCCACGCCGUAAACGAUGAGUGCUAAGUGUUAGGGGGUUUCCGCCCCUUAGUGCUGCAGCUAACGCAUUAAGCACUCCGCCUGGGGAGUACGGCCGCAAAGGCUG